CCGACUGGGAGGCCUGCGCCUGCAUGCUGAAUUGAUCGGCAAAUGUCCGUGUUGUGAAAAGAACUACGAGAGGAGACGACGGCAGUUCUUCCCCGGUAGAGGCCAGCUCUCCUUCGGGAAGAAGUUGGAGCGCAGCGGGCAUCGCAUAGUGGGUGGUUUUCUUCUGUCUGAGUUGAGAUGCUGGGUUCCUUGGCGUAUGGACCGAUGGACCGAUGGAUCUGGUGCGAUGUAAAUUCUGCAUUCAGAGUUCUAGAGAUCAGUGAAGCUGCGCUAAUACAAACCCAAACAGACGCUCGGUGUCCACAGACAUCAGGUCGCGAUUGUAAGAUCAGGACCACGUGUCUGUAAAGACGCUUUAGAGCAGCCUCAUCUCCAUCUGCUCCUGGCGUACUGUCCCUCACGGAAUCACGAGGGUUUGAGGCUCGCGGUGAUACACAGCAGCGAUAGAGGACCGGUGGUCGUGGGCUACUGUACAGAGAUACAAACAAUGGUGCCAGAAGCUCACUUCAACCUGAACUCGCCGUGGUGCAACAGGGGCGCGUUGAUCCACCGCGGAAUCACGACUCUGCCCGUCUGCAGCCCGUUUGACAGUGACUCCAGCGGGCUAAUGAGGCGGCGCGACGGGACCCUCGAUCUCAUUUACUCCGUUGGUGCGGACGGCGCGUCGUGCUUGCGCGUUGCCAGGCUCGUUACUACAUUUUGAGGAUCAUAAGUUGAUGCUCAGAGUUCGUGCAUCAUGGUGUCAUCGGCGGACUGAUGAGUUUUAACUGUUCAGUGCGCAGCUGCAGUGGUUUUGCUUCAGGAGUCCGGACCCGCCGCAUCAGAACCGGAUUCCACCUGCAGCGGAUCUCUGUGACAGCUGUUCUGCAUCGGCGGCAUCUUUAGAGUGAGAGACGUCCGCGCGUUAGUCUUCAAAUAGUGUAGCUCUGUCGAUGCAUUCAGUCAAUUUGUAUAUCACUCCUGUGUUGUCAAGAAGCUGUAACCUCAGAUAAAUCAAGAGAGUGGGUCAAAGCAAUGGAUGAGGAAACGCACACUUAAAGAAAACAACACAUUUACGCUGACCAACUUGCCUUUGAUUCUACACCAAAUGUGAAGACGGCCUAUUUCAACUCACCCAUUGACUGAGAUUUUCAUGGAACAGCCAGAAGGGAGUAUCUGACGCUAAACGAGUUUCUACAAAACAGACCUUGAUGCAGACGGGGUACUGCAGAUAUCACCCACGAGACGUACUGAGAAACGUCUCAGCAUCUGACUUCAUGCUCUUUAGUCAUUGAGGAGGAGACGUCAUUAGUUCUGCUGGUGGAUAAUUCUUUGGCUGCAGUUUGUAGACCUUUUAGCUUGACUUGUCUUCAUUGUUACUCUCGUGACAAAGAGCCGAACUGCAGAGUGCAGUCGAGACCAAAGACAUUAUGAUCUAAAUAAAAAAAAUGAUCCCCAAAAUAAUCAGCAGCAGAAUUCUCUCUCUGUCAUCAGUUUGAAUGCACAAACACAACUCAGGGCACAAGCACACUCUCACUGCAGUGACACCCAUCGCAAACAGUGUGCAGUGUCUCAAUGUGGCCUUUGAUACAAAGCCUGCUCCACAACGGUUCGAAACUUCCAUUUACAUCCCUGAAAAGAAGCGAGAGAAAGGAGGGAGAAAAAGCUAGCAUGUGUGCCAGUGCCCCGUCCUUUAAUUUCCCCCCCCGGAGCCUUUUGUGAGGGAGUCGGCCUGAGGUGAAAGCACAGUGCGCAGCUGCCCCGCCGGCCCACUGCUCGCUUUUUGUGCGAUGUUUUCUCAUCAAGAAUACUAAUGGUGAUAUCAGCUCCGUGGAGUCCACCCAGCUGGCUGAGGAAACAGACAACAAUUAUUCUGCCACCUAAGAAGGCCAUUUAAUGUGACACAAGUUAGCGAGCUGUGUUUGUGUUUGAUAUACCGAAAAACAUAUCAAUGCGUGUUUAGAUUUUGGCUCACUUGGCUGAGUAGUAAUGACAUUUUCUCCAUUUACUAGUGUAUUCUCCUUCAAUGUAUGUAAAUCCGUCAACUCAGAUCUCAAGUUAUUACAAGUUAAUUUAUGCGCCUGUUGCAUUUAUUGGUUUUACCAAAUACGUUUCUUUUGCAUCUCUGACAUUUUCAAUGCCAACAAGUGAUGUGUCGAAUUUUUGGAAGGAGUUCAAAUGAGAAGACUUGACAGUCAUCUGUAAAAUGUUGUUUUCUGAACCUUUUUGUUUCCACUUAUGUUAACUGGAAUAUGAGUGUUUUACUUGAAUGGUCUUAUUUUGGCUGUAAAAAAUAAUUGUGAUGUUUUAUUUCAACAUUUGAUUAGAUUACUUGUCCAAAAUGUGUUUUUACUUGUAAUUCUUGGUUGUGUUUUAUAAUUUAUUUCCGUAAACUGUCAUUCAUCUUAAUCUGCUGCUUAGUUUGCUGUUGUAGUUGCCAAUCCAUUUAAUAAACAUGUUGAUUACAAAAAA
ensembl:lncRNA